AAGUUGUAACAAGGUUUCUGUAGGUGAACCUACAGAAGGAUUAUUACUAUAGGGCUUUAGCCCUAUUAAGAUAGCACCCUUUGUUUAUAAGUACCCCUAUUUCCUUAGCGGGCUUGCCUGCUAGUAGGAUAUUAAAAACCCUUUGUAGUAGCAGUAACUUUAGUUAAAAAAUCAAAUAUUAAAA
rnacentral:misc_RNA from 1 species